rnacentral:rRNA from 1 species
UACGUAGGGGGCAAGCGUUAUCCGGAUUUACUGGGUGUAAAGGGGGCGCAGACGGCGAUGCAAGCCAGGAGUGAAAGCCCGGGGCCCAACCCCGGGACUGCUCUUGGAACUGCGUGGCUGGAGUGCAGGAGGGGCAGGCGGAAUUCCUGGUGUAGCGGUGAAAUGCGUAGAUAUCAGGAGGAACACCGGUGGCGAAGGCGGCCUGCUGGACUGCAACUGACGUUGAGGCCCGAAAGUGUGGGGAGCAAACAGG